CUGCCUUCACGUUGUAGUGACUGCAGAGGAAAGAAGCUCCAGAAAGUAUUUCACUUUACAGUGACUACCAGUGGAAGCCACUGAUGUGAUCGGCUGCACCUCGGGUUAUUGGGACCAGGCAUUCGUUCUUGCGCGUCGAUGCCCAUAUUGUUGUACGAGGCUGGACAAACGAAAAGUGAGUCCCCCGGAGAUCACGAACAAUUGAAGGAAACUCUAAAGCCCUCCACCGAGGUUGUCACUGGUACAUCAUCUUCAGCUGUGAAUCCUGCCUCCCACAAGCACCGCUAAGAUUUGAAAAGCGUGAGCCCUCAUAACCUAAGAGCUUACCGUCUUGUGUAAAUUUUGUGUCCCUAAUAAAUAGUGCCUCCUCCGCCCUUAAAAGUCGCUGCACUUGAAGGUACAGGAUGUUUGGGGACUGAGCUCCCCGCCCCACAGGCAGGGACUUUUUGCACUACACUCCUGGCGUGGCUAUCCUGGGGACUCACACCAGGGAGGUUUAGGCUGUUUAGAAGGGGGCAUUAGAACAGGCUCACUAGGAAAAUUCUCAUGUGCAAUUUUGCCGGGCAAAAAGCCAAUUAACAGAGCUUGUCACUCUGAACAGUGGCCACUUGACCCCGCCAAUCAGCUCCUAAAGGCUUCAGUACACAGACUCAUGGAGCACCGUGUGUGGAUUUCCCUCCCUGCCCAGGCUGGGUUUGCAUUCAGAUGAAUCCAGAAAGGGCAUAAAUGAAAUCAUCCUCAGAAGGGUGAUGUCAUCCAUCCCACAGUCUCAGAACUGCAGUUGCCAGUUCUUAAAAGCCCUUGGCCCUGUUUUAUGACAAAGAAGACAAAUUGUAGAAAGCGAUUUUAAUUUUCACUUCAAGGAGAUCUAGGGAAUUAUGUGCUUAAGGAACAUUGUAGAACCAUGCAAAGGUAGAAUGUGCCUGCGAGUGGUAGGCAUCGGUUCCCCAAUGCACAGCAACAACUAGGCUUGGAAUCCUCAUGAAAACUGACCUAGCAUGGCCCUGUCAUCAAGGAUCUACCUGAAAAAAAAGUUGUGCUAACACUGAAAUUAUAGACCAGAACUGUCCAACAGAACUUUCUGCAGUGGUAGAAAUGUCCUAUAUCCAUGCUGUCCAGUAGCCACUAGCUGCAUAUGGCCAUUCAACACUUGA